rnacentral:rRNA from 1 species
UACGGAGGAUGCAAGCGUUAUCCGGAUUUACUGGGUUUAAAGGGUGCGUAGGUGGGUCUGUAAGUCAGUGGUGAAAUCUCCGAGCUUAACUCGGAAACUGCCAUUGAUACUAUAGAUCUUGAAUUAUCUGGAGGUAAGCGGAAUAUGUCAUGUAGCGGUGAAAUGCUUAGAUAUGACAUAGAACACCAAUUGCGAAGGCAGCUUACUACGGAUCGAUUGACACUGAGGCACGAAAGCGUGGGGAUCAAACAGG